UACAGAGGUCCCAAGCGUUGUUCGGAUUCAUUGGGCGUAAAGGGUGUGUAGGUGGCGCCGUAAGUCGGGUGUGAAAUCUCGGGGCUUAACUCCGAAACUGCAUUCGAUACUGCGGUGCUUGAGGACUGGAGAGGAGACUGGAAUUCAUGGUGUAGCAGUGAAAUGCGUAGAGAUCAUGAGGAAGACCAGUGGCGAAGGCGGGUCUCUGGACAGUUCCGUGACGCUGAGGCAUGAAGGCCAGGGGAGCAAACGGG
rnacentral:rRNA from 1 species